AUUAUCAAAAUGCGUUUUCCCCUACUCUCACUUUUUCUCCUUCUCUGCGUUUCAGUUUUUCAAACCGCUUUCCCCUUCAUUCCUAUUAUCAAAACGCGUUCUCCGUCCUUCUCUCAGGCCGCCGCCCCUGUCUGCCAUCUCUCAUCGCCUCCCUUCCAUGGAAUUUAUCAUGUUUUGGUGUAUGCGGUUUUUUUAUUCUGAUCGCUCUUCAUGGCAGGCUCUUCAAUUUCUUAGGGUUCUAACCUCUAAUCGCACUUCAUCCGCUUAAUUUUAAGGAUGUGAUUAGGAGCUCUAAUUCUCAGAACGUGAAAAUGUUGGACCCAGCGAGGCUUUGGAUUCUGAGCAAAAAACUUUCAUUAGAGCAGUUAGGAAAUCUCGCGGCUGGACCAAAUCGAUUCAGAGGUGAAACUUCAUUUUUAUACAGAUUACCCAUGGUUGAAUUACAAGUAUUGGGUUCCAAUACUCAGUUACGAAUGGAAGGCCGAUACAGAUUCCAUGGUAGUUUUUCGUCUGCGACUGCAAGUUCGACUUUGUCCAACAAAUUUGCGGGAUGAGGCAGCAGUAUCACCACCCACACGGUUUCCAGCUGAGUAAUGUGCAAGAAUUUCAGAAUUAUUUUCACAGACCUCCUGCAGUUCCUGUGUCUGAAUCCUCAAGUUCAUCGUGGCUGCAAGUUUGACCUCAUCGCCAUCUCAGGUAUGUUCAAAGCAGGAU